rnacentral:rRNA from 1 species
AAUGAACGCUGGCGGUAGGCCUAACACAUGCAAGUCGAACGGCAGCACAGUAAGAGCUUGCUCUUACGGGUGGCGAGUGGCGGACGGGUGAGGAAUACAUCGGAAUCUACUUUUUCGUGGGGGAUAACGUAGGGAAACUUACGCUAAUACCGCAUACGACCUACGGGUGAAAGCAGGGGAUCUUCGGACCUUGCGCGAUUGAAUGAGCCGAUGUCGGUUUAGCUAGGUGGCGGGGUAAAGGCCCACCAAGGCGACGAUCCGUAGCUGGUAUGAGAGGAUGAUCAGCCACACUGGAACUGAGACACGGUCCAGACUCCUACGGGAGGCAGCAGUGGGGAAUAUUGGACAAUGGGGGAAAGCCUGAUCCAGCCAUACCGCGUGGGUGAAGAAGGCCUUCGGGUUGUAAAGCCCUUUUGUUGGGAAAGAAAAGCAGCAGGUUAAUCCCCCGCUGUUCUGACGGUACCCAAAGAAUAAGCACCGGCUAACUUCGUG